rnacentral:tRNA from 1 species
GUGUUACAAAUGGUGAAUGAGUUUGACUGCUAAUCAAAAGGUUGGAGGUUCGAGUCCACCC